rnacentral:rRNA from 1 species
UUGACCUCGGAUCAGGUAGGGAUACCCGCUGAACUUAAGCAUAUCAAUAAGCGGAGGAAAAGAAACCAACAGGGAUUGCCUCAGUAACGGCGAGUGAAGCGGCAAAMAGCUCAAAUAAAA